rnacentral:sRNA from 2 species
UCAUUGGCAAAAUCCAAUGACAGAAUUGAUACUCUGAAAUGAUAACAAGGCGUAUAUCGCCAGCAUCUUGCUGGUUUUUU